UGCAUUCCGAAUAAACCACUUCCACUUGGAUCCUGUUUGGGGAUCCAACCUCAGGUGACGCUCCCGCACUCCACCUAUCAGCCGAUGGCCUCGAGCAAGUCACUUGGCCUCUCUGAGCCUCAGUUUCCUUAAUCUUCAAAUGGAGAUGGUAACCAGGAUGUGCAGAAGAUGGCAUGAAUGAACACGCGCAAGGAACCGGAAAUGCUAGCACCAGCGCCGAUGUUUGCCCAGCUGUGCUGUAGAAAAGCAAGGCUGAUCCGCGUUGCCACAGGGUUGCUGCAGUGUUGGGCUCUCAGUGAACCGGACGCUUCAUCAAAGGCUGGGGUUGCUCUGUGGGUGGGGGUGGGUGCCUCUUUGGAGCAAAUCCAGAGUGAGGAUUUAUGUUGAACCCAAAACGUCACUCCCCUAUUCUUAUUUUUUGUCUGUUCUUCUUUAAGUACGUCCUGGGGGAAUGGUUCCUAAUGUCUGCAGUUUAUUUUUCAUUUAUUUUUAAUGCCAAAGCCAAGCAUACUGAUUAAAACCAACGAUAAAAAA
rnacentral:lncRNA from 10 species